UACGUAGGGUGCAAGCGUUAAUCGGAAUUACUGGGCGUAAAGCGUGCGCAGGCGGUCUUGCAAGACAGAUGUGAAAUCCCCGGGCUUAACCUGGGAACUGCAUUUGUGACUGCAAGGCUGGAGUGCGGCAGAGGGGGAGUGGGAAUUCCGACGUGUAGCAGUGAAAUGACGUAGAUAUGCGGAGGAACACCGAUGGCGAAGGCAAUCCCCUGGGCCUGCACUGACGCUCAUGCACGAAAGCGUGGGGAGCAAACAGG
rnacentral:rRNA from 1 species